UACUUUUGAGCGCAUUGUCCGUUUUUUCCACUUCCGCGUCCUUCUCGCCGUCUUUUGGUCAACUCGCGAGAUCUACGAUGAACGAGACUAAUCCAAGCUGUCAAGCGUCUACGAAAGCUAUGGACCAACAAAUCUACAAAAUACACAAUCAGGACGAUUUCGACCGGAUCACUAAGGGGAUCAAGGUUGCGCGAUGCAUGCAAUCGCCGUCGUCCUACGUGCCGGACAACGAGCAAGUACUAUGUGAACUGGUGGUGUCCGACUCCUUGUGCUGCUCUUAUUGUAACACUGAAUUCGAGGACAAGACGCAACAGAGACUCCACUACAAGCUGGAUUGGCAUCGUUACAAUCUCAAGCAACAUCUAAACGGUUUGAAAUCGAUCAACGAGGACAAUUUUAAUAGAUUAGCCGGCGAAGGCGACAUGUCUAGCCUGUCCGGUAGCGAGGUAGAAUCCGAGAACGAAGAUGACGCUGGUACUUCGGAGACUGGGACCUCGUCCAACGAGCAGACCAAGAACGAGCCGUCGAGUAAGAGCAGUUCCACCGCUCUUGGCAAAUCUCGAAAGACGUCGGAAAGACGCGGGAGGGCAAUCGAGUCGGACAUUUCGGACACGGAGUACAACGACGAAAUGUCCAAGGAGCGGAAGCUGCAGGCCGUUGCAAGUCGUCACACAAAAGUGUUCUUCGAGAACGACGACGGCAACAUAUUCAGCAUCUAUCGAUGCCUGCUACAUCAUAAAAAGGAUAUUCCCGAAAAAGACAGCGAGAUGAUCGUUCAGGCGUUGGACAGCGGAAAAAAGAGCAAGUGGACGGUAAUCAUGGUCGGCGGUGGACACUUCGCCGCAGCUGUCUUUCAAAAUGGCGAGGCUGUCGUGCACAAAACCUUCCAUUCUUACACCGUACGAGCGAAGCAAGGUUUCGCUCAGAGCUCACGCCCGAACGGUAAUCACGCUAAAAGCGCGGGGGCCAGCUUGCGAAGGUACAACGAAGCGUCACUUAUUCAGCAUGUGCAAGAGUUGUUGGAGUCAUGGUCGACACAUAUCAAUAAUUCGUCGGUCAUUCUGUACCGAGCGGUCGGGCCGUACAAUCGCACGGUGCUUUUCGGCGGCAAGAAUCCUCCUCUGGACAAGAACGAUUUUCGAAUAAGACCACUGCCAUUUCCUACGCGCAGAGCCACGUUCAGGGAAAUCCAGAGAGUAUAUGAUAUAGUGAGCACCAUGGAGAUUUAUGGUUCUGCGGCAGAUUUCACAGACUGUUUUCCUAACUCUCCGCGACAGCCUAUGCGCAAGAAAGUCUCGAAAACUGAGGUGAUGAGCGAGAUACCCGAGGGAGUGCCUGUCGGCACUGAGUUUAAUGAUGGUAGAACUAAUAUUUCUCAAGAGAACGACAAGUUUAAAGCACCUGCGCAGUCCACCCCGGAGAAGCAACAUCGGAAUCCCCGUCCACACAUAGACAGAGCGAAGCCCAGGAAAAGUCCAAAUCGCCCACUGCCAGAUAUCAUCCUUAGAUUAGCUCAAUCGUCCUCUGAAUCGGAAUUGGAUUCGAGAACCAAUCCCUUGAAUGUUCCUUUAAUUGAACAAGAUUUUGAGGUAGACUUUGCUGAGAAUUUACUAGCUUUUCAGGAUACUGUGCCAAGAUAUUUAAAAAACAAAAAAGCUCACCGGCAGAAGAAAAGAGUGAAGAAAGAUGCCCAGAUAGUCAAUGAAGUGUUGUUGGAUGCUAAAACAAAGUUGUGGGCUGCAUGUAAACGGGGCGAUUAUGAUUUUCUGUCAUCAGUCAUCAAUGACUUAUUAGCGAAAGUUAAAGAAUGCGAGAAAGAGAGCAAUAAGGAAGACGCAUUAAAUUCCGCCGCAUCCAGUAAUAUUCUAGUAAAUACAAAUGACGUGGCGAAACUAGUUAACGAUACCAAUGAAGAUGGUAAUACGAUGUUGCAUUUGGCGGCACUCAGCGGACACUCCGAGCAAGUAUGGCUGCUCAUGGAAAUCGGAUCUAAUCCUUGCAAUAAGAAUAAAAAAUUGCAGACACCUUAUGCUGCAACGAACGAUAAAGAGACAAGAAAUACGUUUAGAAGAUUUAUGAAAGAUAAUCCGAACAAGUUCAAUUAUCAAAAGUCUCAAAUUCCUGGACCGCUCUCCGACGAGAUACAGCAAGAGGAGGCGGAGAAAAAAAGACAGCAACGGAAAUUAAAACGUUUCAAGGAGAAAGUUAAGAGGAAAGAAUUUGAACUGAAGAAACGAGAAGAAAAUGAGAAACAACGAUUCCUUAAUCUCAGCGAUGGAGAAAAGAGAGCAUUAGUUGCGCAAAAUCGGAUGUUGAGCGAAGGAUACACUGUCGUGUCACGGUGCUUCCAAUGUGCCAUCGAUAUGACGGACAUGGUGCCUUUCGAAUACAACGGCAAUCGCUUCUGUUCUAUGCCGUGUCUUAAGGAGCACCGUCUUCAUAAUAAAUAUGUUAUCUGAUGGUGUAUUACGUCUAGCUAGGAAAACUUUGAUGUCAAUUACGCACCCGCGGCAUGAUAGAAUUACGUCAAUUUGCAUUUAUACAUAGGUACGGUGCACGUACAUUGCAGAGAUCCGACGCCACGGUGGCAAGUGAAAAAUAUUUUGCUGACAAGAAAUGAAAAGUCUACAAGUCCUCACACGAUUUCUCUAAUGAUGCAACGGUGGACAUUUAGCAGUAUAAUUCUCUAUAGCCGAUAUAUGUACAAGAUGACUGCCUUUACACUUAAUUACUACAACAGCUUUCUCGAUGCAAGCUUGGAUUACUUAUUUCUUGAUAAAAAUAAUGCACUCCGAGAUAACAACGUGUACUUCAAACGUGCGCUAUACGCAGCACGAUCGAACGAUCUCGCACUACUCUUUGAAAUUCAAUCAGAAUGCAUGUAGACUGAAAAUUCAAUAAAUGCGAUUCAACUUUGGUCGAAGGAUUCGAUGAAGAUCGGAAGAAAAUUCUUGCAAGCUUAAUCGACAGGUUACUCGAUAUGGCGCACGUACACUGCAGAGAUCCGACGCCAUGAUUGCAAGUGAAAAAUAUUUUCCCGACAAGAAAUAAAAAGUUUCCAAGUCCUCACACGAAUUGCGAGUCUUCGAUCGUCCUGUAUAUUCUUUUCGGCUGUGCGCGUUCUUGGACGUUCGUGAUAUAUACAAAACAGAAGUUACUUUGAAAUCGAGAAAGUCAUAAAGCACAGAUCUGAGUAUUAUUUAGGCUAAACGCAUAUGCGGAGUAUCGCGCAUAAUAUCGUGGUCCUCUGUUUGUGCAAAAAUAGAUAUCCGCAUUCACCGGUUUCUACUUCCGGUUUUCACUCCGCCGAACGAGAUGUUAAGCGCGCGGCGUUUUUUUAAGUACAAAACACGCGAGAUUUUUCUCUUCAAGAUAAUUUCUUUCUCGUAUCUGCCUUGAUCACGGUCUGAUUUGUGUUAGUCUUGUUUCACUGUGUAUCUUCCGUUCAGUCUCUUGGUACUGUGUGCUUGUAAAUUGAAAAUGGAGAAUUUUUACUUGUAAUCAUUUUAAACAGCGCCAAUAAUUUUUUCGGAUUCACUUCACGGUUAAGAUUUUAAUCGUCUGCGAUCAAAAUUUUGUAUAAAAUUUUGAUUUGUAACCAAGAACACUGAACCGAAAAUUUAAAAGUUUAUCGGUUUUAAUAUAAUAAUAUUGUUCUAGGAAUUUUACAUGAUAAUUAGUCCAUUAAUCAUAUAAAUUGCUGUCGAGCACGUAACUUAAUUAGCUUUUCUGCAUGACAUACUUUCAGAAUGACAAUCAAUAUGUUAAUAGCCCCAAGGUAUCUAAAACUGUAUCAAAUUUCUUCCUGCUCCUGUACAGGAUGAAUUACAUAACUCGAUCGCUCUAUUAUUUCUAUUGUUGAUGCAAUUUUAAUAU
rnacentral:misc_RNA from 1 species